rnacentral:rRNA from 1 species
GAUGAGCGCUGGCGGUAUGCCUAACACAUGCAAGUCGUACGCCUCACUUCGGUGAGGAGUGGCGGACGGGUGAGUAACACGUUAGUACCUGCCCCAAAGUGGGGAAUAACUGCCCGAAAGGGUAGCUAAUACCCCAUAGUCUCCGGUUUAUCCGGAGUAAAGAUUUAUCGCUUUGGGAGGGCUUGCGUUUGAUUAGCUAGUUGGUGAGGGUAAUGGCCCACCAAGGCGACGAUCAAUAGCUGGAUCGAGAGGUUGACCAGCCACACUGGGACUGAGAUACGGCCCAGACUCCUACGGGAGGCAGCAGUGAGGAAUCUUCCACAAUGGGCGAAAGCCUGAUGGAGCAAUACCGCGUGCAGGAUGAAGCUUUUCGGAGUGUAAACUGCUUUUCUGAAGGAAGAUUAUGACGGUACUUCAGGAAUAAGGAUCGGCUAACUACGUG